UCUUUAAAGUAAAGUUGAAAUCUUGCAAACGGGUUUUAUUUAGUGGGAAGUGAAUCCAAGGGUGGAGUUUAUGUUCUUCAGAUUGAUGAGACCUAUGAGUUCUGCGCACCUCGAUUCUUCGAUUUCAUGAAUGAGGAGAGUGAGGAUGAGGUCAAGAGCGCCGAGCUCUAGUUCGAGAUCUCUCAAAGCUAUGCUCCAUCUUAAUAAAGAAGAUCUGAUUCUUAUAUCAAGAUGUUACAACUUGUGCCGAAGAAACAACAAGAGGUGCCCAGAAUUCUAUUGUUGUUGCGGAAGCUGGAGCAGGCAAUUGGAAAGAAAUGAAGGAUGGGAGGAUGUCCUUUGAAUUUGUAAGUCUAUGUUCUUUUCACAAUGAAAAUAGGUUCUUUUUUUUUCUCGUUAGUUGAAAGACAAAAAACAAAGUGUAGAUGUUACACCACAGAUGGACCACUUCAUCAAUA